rnacentral:rRNA from 1 species
AUGGCAUCCCGUUCGCCGCGCGUUCUGCCCUUCUCCAAGAAUGGAUCUACGCCGACGACCCCAUACUGCCCAAGAUCUUGGCACACGACAGAGUUACCGUGUGGUGUGACCGGGGCUUCUUCCACUAUGACCCCUCCUGCCCUGCCUCUUCGGUGGCCCCGAUUCUUCUUCCACUCUGGGAUAGCUCGUGGAUAUGGUACAUCAUCAUCACCUAUGAAGAGGAGAAGGGGUUUAUCGUGUCAGGAAAGGUGUGUGGUGGUAGGCUUGGUCUCCGGCCUCGGCAACUUUCGUUGGCCCCGGUGCCGUGCGGCUGAGGCGAUGUUGUUUGGCAUCAGCUACAAAAUAGCCAUGGUGAGCUCCUCUCCAUCGUCUGCUAAUUCAUGUAAUCACAUGAUGUUCAAGAUUCUCUUAUGUAUGGUUUUAGACAUUUAG